UUACAAAAGAGGCCGAAUCUCCGCGAAAACCGGAGUACGGGGGACAAAUUUUACGGGGUGAAUCCGCUGCCUUUUUACGGAGGUGUCUACAGGUGCGGUAGGGUGCCCUUCAACCCGAACCCGACAGCUAACCUCGAAGGCCAAAGGAGGGAAAAG
rnacentral:sRNA from 2 species